rnacentral:rRNA from 1 species
UACGUAGGGUGCGAGCGUUAAUCGGAAUUACUGGGCGUAAAGCGUGCGCAGGCGGUUUGCUAAGACCGAUGUGAAAUCCCCGGGCUUAACCUGGGAACUGCAUUGGUGACUGGCAGGCUAGAGUAUGGCAGAGGGGGGUAGAAUUCCACGUGUAGCAGUGAAAUGCGUAGAGAUGUGGAGGAAUACCGAUGGCGAAGGCAGCCCCCUGGGCCAAUACUGACGCUCAUGCACGAAAGCGUGGGGAGCAAACGAGGAUUAC